UUAUAUAAUUAUUUGGUAUGUAUAUAAUACAAUAUGAUUAUAGGGCCAUGAUACUACAUCAACGACUAUAUGCUUCAUUUUGGCAUUAUUAGCUGAGCAUAAAGACAUUCAGGAAUGUGUUAGGAACGAAAUCGAUGCUGCUAUGCAAGAGCAUGAAGG